rnacentral:lncRNA from 1 species
UUAAAGCAAGGGAUUCGCGUGUUAGGCGACGUAACCGUGCUUUAGCUAAGUUAAUCUGAGGUGUUCCGCCACAUGAAGCCAAACCCUUUGACCACUUCAUCAAAAUGAAUGUUCCAACUCCUAGAUGUCUGCUUCAAUCCAUAAAUGGAUCUAUCUAUCAUAUCUCAUAAUCGAAAUAUGCAGCUAUAGCUAGAAUAAUCCGAAUGGACUUAAGCAUCUCUAGCACUUUUCUUAAUGUCAACUUCUGCUGUUUUGAGCAUACCACACAAUUCAUUCAGAUCCUUCU